GUGGGGAAUAUUGGACAAUGGGCGAAAGCCUGAUCCAGCCAUGCCGCGUGUGUGAAGAAGGUCUUCGGAUUGUAAAGCACUUUAAGUUGGGAGGAAGGGUAGUAACCUAAUACGUUGCUACUUUGACGUUACCGACAGAAUAAGCACCGGCUAACUUCGUGCCAGCAGCCGCGGUAAUACGAAGGGUGCAAGCGUAAAUCGGCAUUACUGGGCGUAAAGCGCGCGUAGGUGGUUCAGUAAGUUGGAAGUGAAAUCCCCGGGCUCAACCUGGGAACUGCUUUCAAAACUGCUGAGCUAGAGUACGGUAGAGGGUGGUGGAAUUUCCUGUGUAGCGGUGAAAUGCGUAAAUAUAGGAAGGAACACCAGUGGCGAAGGCGACCACCUGGACUGAUACUGACACUGAGGUGCGAAAGCGUGGGGAGCAAACAGGAUUAGAUACCCGAGUAGUCC
rnacentral:rRNA from 1 species